CAGUCGCCACGGGAAUACGUAGGUGGCAAGCGUUGUCCGGAAUUAUUGGGCGUAAAGGGCUCGCAGGCGGUUUCUUAAGUCUGAUGUGAAAGCCCCCGGCUCAACCGGGGAGGGUCAUUGGAAACUGGGAAACUUGAGUGCAGAAGAGGAGAGUGGAAUUCCACGUGUAGCGGUGAAAUGCGUAGAGAUGUGGAGGAACACCAGUGGCGAAGGCGACUCCCUGGUCUGUAACUGACGCUGAGGAGCGAAAACGUGGGGAGCGAACAGGAUUAGAUACCCGAGUAGUCCCUGUCUCUUAUAC
rnacentral:rRNA from 1 species